UAUUGGAUGUAAUCUGGCAAUUCUUCAGCAAAUUUAGCUUUUCAUUUACUUUUAUAUGAACUCUACACCAAUCUUCUUCAGUAGCAAAAAUCAACAGAGCCAGAGAGGGAAAAGGAAAAAGAUCAGCCAAAGACUGAGACAACAAGUAGCAAACACCACCAGCCAGUCUUCAACGAAGUCUUUGAAUUACAGUACAGCUUUCAGUAAUGACAAGACGUCGUACACGUUAAACCAACGCUUUAGUGGGCAGACAAACCAACAACCAAGUGCUGUACCAGCUGGAAACAGACAGGUGUUCUUCUAGAUGUACACCUGGUGUGUAUCAGCAGAGGCAGCAGAUGGCAUUGGCUACUUGGGCAGUGGGCAGGCGAAUACAAGGAUUCUGUGACAUAUUUAUGAAAGGUGAUGAAGAUCUGAAGAAGGGAAAGAUGGUUAUCAGGAAGUAACCAUGGAGAGACAUUUAACGGGAAAGGCUGUGAUUUUUCACAGAGAUGUGGACAGGUGUCCAAAACACAAGAGACAGUUCAUGCAUUGAGCUGUGAUUUAGCUAAUGUGCUUGUUUCACUUGCGGUACUAGACUGACUUAUUCCAGUGUGAGAAAAUCUCAGGUGUUAUGUGGUAAAAUUGUGCUGAGGAUAUUUUCACUACUCACAAGAGCACAGGCCAAUCAGACGUACAGUAGUGUUUUAGCCAACAAGACUGCAGGCUCAGCCAAUCAGAUCCAGUGUUUUAUUUCUCGAGACUGGAGGCUUGGCCAAUCAGGUCAAGUGUAUUGUUCAAGACUGCAAGCUUUGCGAAAUAGACCCAGCUUUUCAAACUGGUUGGCAACACUCUUCUCUGUUCAAGGUAAAGAAAGUUGCUUGUGUUGUCCAGUUUGGGGUUAAAAAUUCUGUAAGACAGAUCAGAAGCUAGAGACCAUGUGAUCUCCUUUGUAACAAACGAUGUUGGUGAAGAAAAGGCUCCUCCCAACAUCAUUGCUUAGGAAAAUGCCUAUUUUGGAAUGGCUGUCAGCGAUCUUGUGUCCCUUGGAUUUGUAGAAUUUUUGGCUUUUCAGAUAACUGCUUUUCCAGCAUUUCUGCAGAUCUUACAUGAUGCUAUUUUGUAAAACUAGGCCUAACUGGUCGCUAGCGAAGUGGAAAAAAGUUUUCCCCAAUGCUUUAACAUUGGGCGGCCAUUUUGUUUGCGACAUGAUAUAAUUUUCACGUGACCUCCAACUUCUGAGCCGUGUUACAGAAAAGAUAAGAGUGAUUUUUAUUUUAAGUUCUGUUUUGGCUAAAGCUGGAGUCCUUGACAGGCUGUGUGUGUAUGUAGUAGCGAUGGUUGAUUUUGUUUCUUUGUUACGUUGAAAUGUAAUCAUAUCCAGGAAUGGUCCGCAUUUAACAUUGAGACAAAACAGUCAAACAAAUCUCCACAACACAACCCCAGCCUCUUGUGUGAUACCACAACCAAUCAAGGCACAAAAAUGGGAAAAGUUUGGAAUUUUAUUGAGAAAGUAGGUUUUUAUUGCAUUUAUCAGGUAGUAAAUUUUUUAAAUGAUUUUAGUUAAGUGUGAUAAGGUCAAGAAGAUCAUGUGUGUUCAAUGAUACUUUUGCUCAUUUUAGCUGUUUAAAUGUUACCGGAUACGUUUUUUUUUUUUAAGCAUAAAUUUUACCCCCUGUUCUUGUUUGUACUGUCCCUGACUAAUUAUGUUGUUAGUUUGUAGUUCCAGUAAUAAGGACAUCUGAGUGGGUCUUGCAGGUGGGUAAAGCCUAGUCUGUUUCACCAUCUCCUAGAAACCAAAGCCUAUUAUUCGCCAAACCAAGAGCUUUUGAUCAUAUGCAACAUGUCACAUCAUUGCAGUGCUUCAUCUGUGGAUCCUAAUUUUCUCUGCAAGAGUCCAGAAAUAGUGUAGGUGUAAGCACAUGUUUAUUAAAGAUGCAAGGAUAGAAACGUUUUAUCAUCAAAUAGUGAUGGGAAGUGAGGCCAGAAAUCAUGCAUUCUGAAGUGUUUUACAAUCAUGUGAUGUUAAGGCUAAUUGAAAGUAAAUGAUGUUGAUGUCAUUAAAGAAAGCUCUGUAUAAAUCUUG